rnacentral:piRNA from 1 species
UUUGUGUGUACCUAUGCAUGGAU